rnacentral:lncRNA from 1 species
AAACAUAAACAAUUAGGGCACAUUUCCAGUUGUUUUCUUCCACCUCCACCUCUUCUUUGUUCAACUGACCUACUGGCUUCCCGUCAAUCAUCACCGGUGGAAUAUACUCUAAUGCCAUACCGUUAGAGGCAAAUUGAUUCUUCUGAAACAGAUUUGCCCAGUUCCCUUUUGGUGCCUCAGUUAAAAUCCCCUCCACUGGUUUACUUAUGACGGUCACUGGUGCUUGAAGUGGUGUCGUCUUUUGCAUGUGGUCAAUUUCAC